rnacentral:rRNA from 1 species
CGGGACACGUGGUAUCCUGUCUGAAUAUGGGGGGACCAUCCUCCAAGGCUAAAUACUCCUGACUGACCGAUAGUGAACCAGUACCGUGAGGGAAAGGCGAAAAGAACCCCGGCGAGGGGAGUGAAAAAGAACCUGAAACCGUGUACGUACAAGCAGUGGGAGCACGCUUAGGCGUGUGACUGCGUACCUUUUGUAUAAUGGGUCAGCGACUUAUAUUCUGUAGCAAGGUUAACCGAAUAGGGGAGCCGAAGGGAAACCGAGUCUUAACUGGGCGUUAAGUUGCAGGGUAUAGACCCGAAACCCGGUGAUCUAGCCAUGGGCAGGUUGAAGGUUGGGUAACACUAACUGGAGGACCGAACCGACUAAUGUUGAAAAAUUAGCGGAUGACUUGUGGCUGGGGGUGAAAGGCCAAUCAAACCGGGAGAUAGCUGGUUCUCCCCGAAAGCUAUUUAGGUAGCGCCUCGUGAAUUCAUCUCCGGGGGUAGAGCACUGUUUCGGCAAGGGGGUCAUCCCGACUUACCAACCCGAUGCAAACUGCGAAUACCGGAGAAUGUUAUCACGGGAGACACACGGCGGGUGCUAACGUCCGUCGUGAAGAGGGAAACAACCCAGACCGCCAGCUAAGGUCCCAAAGUCAUGGUUAAGUGGGAAACGAUGUGGGAAGGCCCAGACAGCCAGGAUGUUGGCUUAGAAGCAGCCAUCAUUUAAAGAAAGCGUAAUAGCUCACUGGUCGAGUCGGCCUGCGCGGAAGAUGUAACGGGGCUAAACCAUGCACCGAAGCUGCGGCAGCGACGCUGAUGCGUUGUUGGGUAGGGGAGCGUUCUGUAAGCCUGUGAAGGUGUGCUGUGAGGCAUGCUGGAGGUAUCAGAAGUGCGAAUGCUGACAUAAGUAACGAUAAAGCGGGUGAAAAGCCCGCUCGCCGGAAGACCAAGGGUUCCUGUCCAACGUUAAUCGGGGCAGGGUGAGUCGACCCCUAAGGCGAGGCCGAAAGGCGUAGUCGAUGGGAAACAGGUUAAUAUUCCUGUACUUGGUGUUACUGCGAAGGGGGGACGGAGAAGGCUAUGUUGGCCGGGCGACGGUUGUCCCGGUUUAAGCGUGUAGGCUGGUUUUCCAGGCAAAUCCGGAAAAUCAAGGCUGAGGCGUGAUGACGAGGCACUACGGUGCUGAAGCAACAAAUGCCCUGCUUCCAGGAAAAGCCUCUAAGCAUCAGGUAACAUCAAAUCGUACCCCAAACCGACACAGGUGGUCAGGUAGAGAAUACCAAGGCGCUUGAGAGAACUCGGGUGAAGGAACUAGGCAAAAUGGUGCCGUAACUUCGGGAGAAGGCACGCUGAUAUGUAGGUGAAGCGACUUGCUCGUGGAGCUGAAAUCAGUCGAAGAUACCAGCUGGCUGCAACUGUUUAUUAAAAACACAGCACUGUGCAAACACGAAAGUGGACGUAUACGGUGUGACGCCUGCCCGGUGCCGGAAGGUUAAUUGAUGGGGUCAGCGCAAGCGAAGCUCUUGAUCGAAGCCCCGGUAAACGGCGGCCGUAACUAUAACGGUCCUAAGGUAGCGAAAUUCCUUGUCGGGUAAGUUCCGACCUGCACGAAUGGCGUAAUGAUGGCCAGGCUGUCUCCACCCGAGACUCAGUGAAAUUGAACUCGCUGUGAAGAUGCAGUGUACCCGCGGCAAGACGGAAAGACCCCGUGAACCUUUACUAUAGCUUGACACUGAACAUUGAGCCUUGAUGUGUAGGAUAGGUGGGAGGCUUUGAAGUGUGGACGCCAGUCUGCAUGGAGCCGGCCUUGAAAUACCACCCUUUAAUGUUUGAUGUUCUAACGUUGACCCGUGAUCCGGGUUGCGGACAG